CUCGACAUAGCUCAGUUGGUAGAGCGGAGGACUGUAGUCGUUAGCACAGAAAAUCCUUAGGUCACUGGUUCGAAUCCGGUUGUCGAGA
rnacentral:tRNA from 1 species